CCUCGUGUAUCAAAAAACCUUGGUCUCUAGCUAGUUGUUUUGUUUACCUUUUCCGAACGUUUAUCAAAUUUUCCUGCGAGUAUUAUAAAAAGAAAUUUAUAAUUUGGUUCGGUUGCUGGUUCGCGAUAGAUCGAUCGUAUUCACCGAACGUUGGGUCAUGUUUCUUCGCCGAAAACAUACCAACUUGUCAAGAGGUUACGUAUCAGUAGUUCACAGGACUUAAAAGCAGUACUGGAAUAUUCUUUGACGAUGCCAAUCCUACCUAUAAUAAUGGCAGUACCAGCAUUUGCCUUUGAAUCCGCCCUAAUUAACAAAGGGCCAUUGUUUGUUUUUAAACAAAGUUUCCGGAAAGAUCGUUCGAGAGGCCAGUGGUCUAUGGCCUGUGCGAAUUCUGCAAGCAAUCGGACGGUGGUUCCUUCGUGAUUUUUUGCGACGGACGUCAAACUUUUUCCUUCCACUGGAGCGGAGUGCAUCAUGCCAACUGCCAAUUAAUCAAAAACUUCCGGUUUCUGUUACGUGAAUGACAUUGCGGUUUAGUACUCGAAACGUUUUUAAGCUGAAAAGCAAAGGCCGCCUGUGCAACACCUGAUCGUACUGGUACAAAUGCGGCACACAAAAUAAUGGGAACAGCAAACCCAGCCAUUAAAGGAUACCAGGACUUCAAAUGAUCGACAAAGGCCUUGUUCCCCUUGUACCAAAAAUAGUGAACUCUCUGCCAGUGGGCGCACUAAUGGGCGAGCAUCAUAUAUUGUAGUUCUUACUUAGUGCUUCCAUCAGUUUUUUACUGCAUGUUAAAAUAAGUUUCUGAUGUAUUUCGCACAAGCAACUGAAAUGCACAUUUAGCACACUGAUGAACAGAAAACAAUAUGGAAAUCAAUCGUGCUCGUUUGUAUGAAAAUGAACAAAAUCUUCCGAUUUUGUGCAAUAUUGAUUAUCCCACGCGAGGUGGUCUUUUCAAUUAUUUGCUGGUAAAAGAUGGAGAAACAGAUUAUCAACUUCUGGGCCAUAAGCAAUUGUGCGUCGUGUUUAAUCACUACUGGAACCAAUAACAACGCAAAUACCAAGAUAACUAUAGUGGUGGUAUCACAUCUUUUGCCAGCCGUACUGGAGCCCUCCGGAUGAUAAGGAAAUACGAAAAUAGCUGUCACCUAGAGUAAUUGUCGUAAGUUCAACUUAGCUUUAUGGUUUGAUAUUAGAAUAGUUUACCUAGAAUGUUAAGACGCAUCAAAUUAAUUAUCUUCACAUUAUGCUUCUAAAUUAUAGGGCUAAUCUAACUAACUUUAGCACCUUUCACAGAAAAUUGGAUGUCCAUCCUUUUUCAGUUUUGCUGCUAUACUAAAUAUCAUCACCUCAUCAUUGAAUCCAAUAACCAGGGGGCUCAAACGAGCCUCUUGGUGUGGGGGAGUGUGGUGGGCCGCUUUACAAAAAAAACAUAUUUUUAUCCUUUUUUACUUUAUAUAAAAACAAAUAAAAAUUAUAUCAAUGUCCGCCGUUCUGCUCUGUAUAACGAUCAGAU